rnacentral:lncRNA from 10 species
AGUGCCGGCGCAGAGUGCGGGACUGGCAGACAGCUCCACCUGUGGCCCCGGUGGAGGAUCCACUGGGUGAAGCCAGCUGGGCUUCUGAGUCUGGUGGAGACUUGGAGAACCUUUAUGUCUAGCUAGGGGAUUGUAAAUACACCAGUCGGCACUAUGUAUCUAGCUCAAGGUUUGUAAACACACCAAUCAGUACCCUGUGUCUAGCUCAGAGUUUGUGAAUGCACCAAUCGACACUCUGUAUCUAGGUAAUCUAAUGGGGAGGUGGAGAACCUUUGUGUCUAGCUCAGGGAUUGUAAACGCACCAGUCAGCACCCUGUCAAAACAGACCCCUCGGCUCUCUGUGAAAUGGACCAAUCAGCAGGAUGAGGGUGGGGCCAGAUAAGAGAAUAAAAGCAGGCUGCCAGCGCCAGCAGUGGCAACCCGCUCAGGUCCCCUUCCACGCUGUGGAAGCUUUGUUCUUUUGCUCUUUGCAAUCAAUCUUGCUGCUGCUCACUCUUUGUCCACACUGCCUUUAUGAGCUGUAACACUCACUGCGAAGGUCUUCAGCUUCACUCCUGAAGCCAGCGAGACCACGAACCCACCGGGAGGAAUGGAAAACUCCAGACGCGCCACCUUAAGAGCUGUAACACUCACCGCGAAGGUCCGCAGCUUCACUCCUGAGCCACCGAGACCACGAACUCCACCAGAAGGAAGAGACUCCGAACACAUCCGAACAUCAGAAGGAACAAACUCUGGACACGCCGCCUUUAAGAACUGUAACACUCACAGCGAGGGUCCGCGGCUUCAUUCUUGAAGUCAGUGAGACCAAGAACCCACCAAUUCUGGACACACAAUCACGGCUCACCGCAGUCUUGAAUUCCUGGGCUCAAGCAGUCCUCUCACCUCAGCCUUCCGAGUAGCUGGGAUUAAAGGACAGGCCUAAGUUCCUAUAGUCUUCUUGGACUGAGAUGAAAGAUAGCUGCUUUUUCCCCCCAGGAAACAGGCUGCAAGUUUGCCUAAGCUGAGUCAGAAGAAAAAAGGCAGCAUCUGAAGCAGACGUAGAAACUGCACUGAGAAAAGGAGGAACAAAAUAUAAACUCUAAAUAGAGUUUUAUAAAUCUUAACAGAGGAUAUUGGUUUUGGAAGAGAGUUUAGGUUCAGAAGUUUGGGCAUUGGAGUAUGAGAGCCAAAGCUCCAAUUAGCCAUCCAAAAGGCUUGUGAAAAAAUGCUGAAUGAGCUUUCUGUAGAAAUCUUUUCCUCUCUUAGUCUUGCUUAAAGAAUUUCUUGGGCUGUAGACAAGAAGCUGAAUCAGAAAUACCAAGAUUUAGCCAGUUUGGGCCAGUAUUAUGGAGUAGGAGGAUAGUAUUAUGGAGUGAUAUGGUGUUUUUCAGUACAGAUGAUCAGUUUCUCAAAUCUCUGGUAGUCUUAGGAGUGGUAUGUAAGGGCAUCCCAAAAUAUCUCAUCACUCCAAAAGAGGAAAGGAUGCCAGAGAGACAGCCUGUGGGCCUAGGGCAAGGAAAGCAGGGUGCACUAUCAGCUGGAGGCUGAUGAAAACUCAGACAUCAGCAGUGAGUGGCUAAACCAAAGAGCAAUGUGAGCCAAAAACCAGAAGUCUCUCUCCUGCCCUCACUCCCAGUAGCCUAGCUGUGAUACAGGUUUCCCAGAACUUGAAUUAGCUCUGGGGAGAAUGGUGAAGGGGAAAUCCUGGAAUGUCAGAAAGCACCAGUUUGACAAAAAUUAAGUUCUCUGAUACUAGGUAAAAUGGGCUUAAAGUAGAGUUUAGGUUGAAUAGUAGAAAAGUAAAAUGACAUUUUCUUUUUUUGCAUAUCUAAAUUCUGAGAAAUGUGUACCCACUACAUAAGCAGAAUAAAUAAAUCCAAUGUCAUAUUAGAAACUAAAAUUAGUAAUGAAUGAACAUUAUUCAACUGUAUUGAAUAACUUUGUUUGUAUGGCACUUGAGAGUUGACAAGUGGUUUUGUGUACUUAAUCUUAUUUGGUCCACUCAAUAGCCUGCAAGGUAAGCAAGUCAAAGACCUUUCCUUUACUUGAAAAUAUAGACAGCUAUGAAAUACCAUCCCUGAAUAUUCAUUGAUUCAAUUCAUCCAAGAAAUCAGUGAAAUGCCAUAUACUUACCACCUACUUGACAUUUCAUUUUCCCUGGAGUGCAUUUCCAAGAGGCUGUGAGGGAUAUAGAGCAGGGUCACAAAAGCAUCAUGAGAGGUAGGAAUGUAGUAAGACCAAAGGGUGGCAAUGCCUAUAAACAGAAAUGGGCAUAGAGGUAAUAAGGAUAAAACAAUGAGUUCUUGACAUUUUAUGUCACUGUUGCAGAAAGGAAGGCAAUAUGGUUUGGCUGUGUCCCUACCCAAAAUCUCAUCGUGAAUUGUAACUCGAAUUAUAAUCCCCACGUAUUGGGGGAAGAACCUCAUAGGAGGUGAUUAGAUCAUGGGGGUAGUUCCCCCAUGCUGUUCUCAUGAUUCUCAAGAUAGUGAGUUUUCACAAGAUUUGGUGGUUUUAUAAGAGGUUUUUCCCUGCUUCGCUCUGUACUUCUCCUCCCUGCCAUCGCAUGAAGAAGGACAUAUUUACUUCUCUGUCUGCCAUGGGUUGUAAGUUUCCUGAGGCGU